rnacentral:tRNA from 1 species
GGAGAGAUGUCCGAGCGGUUUAUGGUGCAGACCUCGAAAGUCUGUGUGGGGGCAACUCCACCGUGGGUUCGAAUCCCACUCUCUCCG